CCUACGGGUGGUAGCAGUGAGGAAUAUUGGUCAAUGGCCGAGAGGCUGAACCAGCCAAGUCGCGUGAGGGAAGAAUGUCCUAUGGAUUGUAAACCUCUUUUGUCAGGGAGCAAAGUCACCCACGUGUGGGUGUUGGAGAGUACCUGAAGAAAAAGCAUCGGCUAACUCCGUGCCAGCAGCCGCGGUAAUACGGAGGAUGCGAGCGUUAUCCGGAUUUAUUGGGUUGAAAGGGUGCGUAGGCGGGUUAUCAAGUCAGCGGUAAAAUGGUGGAGAGCAACUCUAGCCAGCCGUUGAAACUGAUGAUCGUGAGUGGGCGAGAAGUAUGCGGAAUGCGUGGUGUAGCGGUGAAAUGCAGAGAUAUAACGCAGAACUACGAUUGCUAAGGCAGUAUACCGGCGCCCGACUGACGCUGAAGCACGAAAGCGUGGGUAUCGAACAGGAGUAGAUACCCUUGUAGUC
rnacentral:rRNA from 1 species